GACGAACGCUGGCGGCGUGCUUAACACGUGCAAGUCGAACGGAAAGGCCUCUUUCGGGGGGUACUCGAGUGGCGAACGGGUGAGUAACACGUGAGUAACCUGCCCUUGACUUUGGGAUAACUUCAGGAAACUGGGGCUAAUACCGGAUAGGAGCUCCUGCUGCAUGAUGGGGGUUGGAAAGUUUCGGCGGUUGGGGAUGGACUCGCGGCUUAUCAGCUUGUUGGUGGGGUAGUGGCUUACCAAGGCUUUGACGGGUAGCCGGCCUGAGAGGGUGACCGGCCACAUUGGGACUGAGAUACGGCCCAGACUCCUACGGGAGGCAGCAGUGGGGAAUAUUGCACAAUGGGUGGAAGCCUGAUGCAGCAACGCCGUGUGCGGGAUGACGGCCUUCGGGUUGUAAACCGCUUUCGCUCAUGACGAAGCUUUGUGUGACGGUAGUGGGUAAAGAAGCACCGGCUAACUACGUG
rnacentral:rRNA from 1 species